GACGAACGCUGGCGGCGUGCUUAACACAUGCAAGUCGAACGAAGUGGCGAACGGGUGAGUAAUACGUGGGUAACCUGCCCUCCUUUUUGGGAUAAGCCUUGGAAACGGGGUCUAAUACCGAAUAAAGGGGGAUGGGCUCGCGGCCUAUCAGCUUGUUGGUGGGGUGAUGGCCUACCAAGGCGGUGACGGGUAGCCGGCCUGAGGGGGUGACCGGCCACAUUGCGACUAAGAGACGGCCCCGACUCCUACGGGGGGCAGCAGUGGGGGUUAUUGCACAAUGGGUGAAAGCCUGAUGCAGCGUCGCCGCGUGCGGGAUGACGGCCUUCGAGUUGUAAACCGCUUUCAGCCAUGACGCGGUAGUGGCAGAAGAAGCACCGGCUAACUACGUGCCAGCAGCCGCGGUAAUUC
rnacentral:rRNA from 1 species